GAUGAAGAACGUAGUGAAAUGCGAUAAGUAGUGUGAAUUGCAGAAGUACCGUGAAUCAUCGAAUCUUUGAACGCAAAUUGCACUCUCUGGUAUUCCGGGGAGUAUGCCUGUUUGAGGGUCGCUUAACAAACCAUCGAUUUCGUUGCUUUUUUUUUUAAAGUGAUGUUUAUCGGAUUUGAGCCGUCUUUUUUUUUAUAUUUAAGUGGCUUAAAAUUGAUUUUUUUGGUACGAUCGAAGCGUAUUUUUAUGAUCAAUUUUUGGUUAAAGAAACGCACACGUACCGUUAUUUAUAUGAUGUAAUACGUUUGACUAUUGGAUUUAGUUCAUUCGUAUACGAUAUCUUUCAAUAUUUGACCUCAAAUCAGGUAAGAACACCCGCUGAACUUAAGCAUAUCAUAAGCGGAGGA
rnacentral:misc_RNA from 1 species